AUUGUUAGUAGGUAGAUACCUACCUGAAUUAAAUUUUACAUUAAAUUUAGAUGUGAAUGUUGAAAAAAGAAGUGUAAGUGAUCAAAGUAGUGUUGAUUUGGAAAAUAUCACAAAUAAAACUAUCCCAGAUGUGAAUGUUGAAAAAAAUAGUAUAGAUGACCAAAGUAGUGUUGAUUUGGAAAAUACCACAAAUAAAACUAUCCCAGAUGUGAAUGUUGAAAAAGUAGUAUAGAUGACCAAAGUAGUGUUGAUUUGGAAAAUACCACAAAUAAAACUAUCCCAGGUAAAUUAUUAAGUGUAUUACCUAUUAUGUAUUUU